AGCGAACGUUGGCGGCGUGCUUAACACAUGCAAGUCGUACGCGAUCUUUAGCUUCGGUUGAAGUGAGCGUGGCGCACGGGUGAGUAACACGUGAGUAACGUACCUUCAGGUGGGGAAUAACGGUUCGAAAGGGCCGCUAAUACCGCAUGAGACCACAACGCCUUAUGGUGAAGUGGCCAAAGCCUUCGGGCGCCUGAAGAUCGGCUCGCGGCCCAUUAGGUAGUUGGCGGGGUAAUGGCCCACCAAGCCAAAGAUGGGUAGCUGGUCUGAGAGGAUGAUCAGCCACACUGGGACUGAGACUCGGCCCAGACUCCUACGGGAGGCAGCAGUGGGGAAUCUUGCGCAAUGGACGAAAGUCUGACGCAGCAACGCCGCGUGUGUGAUGAAGGCCCUCGGGUCGUAAAGCACUGUUGGGAGAGAAGAAGAUCUGACGGUAUCUCCUGAGGAAGCACCGGCUAACUCCGUGCCAGCAGCCGCGGUAAUACGGAGGGUGCAAACGUUGCUCGGAAUCAUUGGGCGUAAAGCGCGCGUAGGCGGUCGCAUAAGUCCGGCGUGAAAGCCCAGGGCUCAACCCUGGAAUGCCGCUGGAAACUGUACGACUUGAGGGCGAGAGGGGCUUGUGGAAUUUCUGGUGUAGGGGUGAAAUCCGUAGAGAUCAGAAGGAACACCGGUGGCGAAGGCGACAAGCUGGAUCGCACCUGACGCUGAGGCGCGAAAGCGUGGGGAGCAAACAGGAUUAGAUACCCUGGUAGUCCACGCUGUAAACGAUGUUCACUAGUUGCUCCCUGCCUGGUGCGGGGGGUGACGCAGCUAACGCAUUAAGUGAACCGCCUGGGGAGUACGGCCGCAAGGUUAAAACUCAAAGGAAUUGACGGGGACCCGCACAAGCGGUGGGGCAUGUGGUUUAAUUCGAAGCAACGCGCAGAACCUUACCUGGGUUUGACAUCUGCGGAAGUCGGGGUAAUGCCUGAUGUGCCCUUCGGGGAGCCGCAAGACAGGUGCUGCAUGGCUGUCGUCAGCUCGUGUCGUGAGAUGUUCGGUUAAGUCCGGCAACGAGCGCAACCCUCGUCACUAGUUGCCAGCAGGUGAAGCUGGGCACUCUAGUGAGACUGCCGAUGUGAAAUCGGAGGAAGGUGGGGAUGACGUCAAGUCCUCAUGGCCCUUAUGUCCAGGGCUACACACGUGCUACAAUGGGCGAUACAAAGGGAAGCGAGACCGCGAGGUGGAGCCAAUCCCAAAAAGUCGCCCUCAGUUCAGAUUGCAGUCUGCAACUCGACUGCAUGAAGGUGGAAUCGCUAGUAAUCGUGGAACAGCAUGCCACGGUGAAUACGUUCCCGGGUCU
rnacentral:rRNA from 1 species